UACGUAGGGUGCAAGCGUUAAUCGGAAUUACUGGGCGUAAAGCGUGCGCAGGCGGUUAUGCAAGAGAGAGGGGAAAGCCCCGGGCUCAACCUGGGAACUGCAUUUGUGACUGCAUGGCUAGAGUAAGGUAGAGGGGGAUGGAAUUCCGCGUGUAGCAGUGAAAUGCGUAGAUAUGCGGAGGAACCCCGAUGGCGAAGGCAAUCCCCUGGACCUGUACUGACGCUCAUGCACGAAAGCGUGGGGAGCAAACAGG
rnacentral:rRNA from 1 species